UUGUAAUUUAAAUAAAUAAGGAGUCGGGCCUGCCCGGUGAAAUUUUUUAACGGCCGCGGUACUCUGACCGUGCAAAGGUAGCAUAAUCAUUUGCCUUAUAAUUGAAGGCUAGUAUGAAUGGUUUAACAAGAAUAUAACUGUCUCUUUAUGAUUAAAUAGAAUUUUAUAUAUAAGUGAAGAAGCUUAUAUUUAAUUAAAAGACAAGAAGACCCUAUCGAGCUUUAAAUAAAUUAAGAGACUAAAUUUAAUUAAUAGCACUAAAAAAUUAACUCUUAAAAAUUUUAGUUGGGGCGACUGAGGAACAAAAAAAGCUUCCUUUAAAUAACAUAAAUCUUACAAGUAUUGAUCCAAAACAUUUUGAUUAAAGAAAUUAGUUACCGUAGGGAUAACAGCAUUAUCUUUUUUAAGAGUUCUUAUCGAAAAAAAGGUUUGUGACCUCGAUGUUGGACCAGAAUAUCCUAAAGAUGCAGCAGUCUUUAAGGGUUGGUCUGUUCGACCAUUAAAAUUCUA
rnacentral:rRNA from 1 species